rnacentral:rRNA from 1 species
UGAGGAAUAUUGGGCAAUGCCCGCAAGGGUGACCCAGCAACGCCGCGUGGAGGAUGAAUGUCGUAAGAUUGUAAACCCCUGUUAGAGGGGAAGAAUAGUACCGGUUGGACCGGUAUAUGACUGUACCCUCAGAGAAAGCCCCGGCUAACUACGUGCCAGCAGCCGCGGUAAUACGUAGGGGGCAAGCGUUGUCCGGAUUUACUGGGUGUAAAGGGCGCGCAGGCGGGAUAAAAAGUCAGUGGUGAAAUCCUACAGCUUAACUGUAGAACUGCCUUUGAUACUGUUAUUCUUGAGUUCGGGAGAGAGAGACGGAAUUCCAGGUGUAGUGGUGAAAUACGUAGAUAUCUGGAAGAACACCAGUUGCGAAGGCGGUCUCUUGGUCCGACACUGACGCUGAGGCGCGAAAGCGUGGGGAGCAAACA